GAUGAACGCUGGCGGCGUGCCUAAUACAUGCAAGUCGAGCGAACAGACGAGGAGCUUGCUCCUCUGACGUUAGCGGCGGACGGGUGAGUAACACGUGGAUAACCUACCUAUAAGACUGGGAUAACUUCGGGAAACCGGAGCUAAUACCGGAUAAUAUAUUGAACCGCAUGGUUCAAUAGUGAAAGACGGUUUUGCUGUCACUUAUAGAUGGAUCCGCGCCGCAUUAGCUAGUUGGUAAGGUAACGGCUUACCAAGGCAACGAUGCGUAGCCGACCUGAGAGGGUGAACGGCCACACUGUAACUGAGACACGGUCCAGACUCCUACGGGAGGCAGCAGUAGGGAAUCUUCCGCAAUGGGCGAAAGCUUGACGGAGCAACGCCGCGUGAGUGAUGAAGGUCUUCGGAUCGUAAAACUCUGUUAUUAGGGAAGAACAAAUGUGUAAGUAACUAUGCACGUCUUGACGGUACCUAAUCAGAAAGCCACGGCUAACUACGUG
rnacentral:rRNA from 1 species